GAUGAACGCUGGCGGCGUGCCUAAUACAUGCAAGUCGAGCGAACGGACGAGAAGCUUGCUUCUCUGAUGUUAGCGGCGGACGGGUGAGUAACACGUGGAUAACCUACCUAUAAGACUGGGAUAACUUCGGGAAACCGGAGCUAAUACCGGAUAAUAUUUUGAACCGCAUGGUUCAAAAGUGAAAGACGGUCUUGCUGUCACUGAUAGAUGGAUCCGCGCUGCAUUAGCUAGUUGGUAAGGUAACGGCUUACCAAGGCAACGAUGCAUAGCCGACCUGAGAGGGUGAUCGGCCACGCUGGAACUGAGACACGGUCCAGACUCCUACGGGAGGCAGCAGUAGGGAAUCUUCCGCAAUGGGCGAAAGCCUGACGGAGCAACGCCGCGUGAGUGAUGAAGGUCUUCGGAUCGUAAAACUCUGUUAUUAGGGAAGAACAUAUGUGUAAGUAACUGUGCACAUCUUGACGGUACCUAAUCAGAAAGCCACGGCUAACUACGUG
rnacentral:rRNA from 1 species